AAGCACUUUGGAAAGAGAGUUAAAAAGCACGUGAAAUUGUUGAAAGGGAAGCGCUCACGACCAGACUCGGGUGCGGCUGCUCAGCCGGUCUUCUGACCGGUGCAUCGGUUGUACCCGGGCCAGCAUCGGUUCGGGCGGUCGGAUAAAGGUUCCGGGAACGUAGCUCCUCUCGGGGAGUGUUAUAGCCCGGGGCGCAAUGCGGCCUGCCCGGACCGAGGAACGCGUUCGCUAGGAUGCUGGCGUAAUGGUCGUUAGCGGCCCGUCUUGAAACACGGACCAAGGAGUCUACCAUCUGUGCGAGUAUUAGGGUGUCAAACCCUUGUGCGUAAUGAAAGUGAACGGAGGUGGGAACCCUUUGGGUGCACCAUCGACCGAUCCAGAUGUCCUCGGACGGAUUUGAGUAAGAGCACCGCUGGUGGGACCCGAAAGAUGGUGAACUAUGCGCGGAUAGGGUGAAGCCAGAGGAAACUCUGGUGGAGGCUCGCAGCGGUUCUGACGUGCAAAUCGAUCGUCAAAUCUACGCAUAGGGGCGAAAGACUAAUCGAACCAUGAACACCUACUAGGUGGUUGAGAGCGGGUGCC
rnacentral:rRNA from 1 species